rnacentral:tRNA from 1 species
GCAUUGGUGGUUCAGUGGUAGAAUUCUCACCUUCCACGUGGGAGACCUGGGUUCGAUUCCUGGCCAGUGCA